rnacentral:rRNA from 1 species
UGGGGAAUAUUGCACAAUGGGCGCAAGCCUGAUGCAGCCAUGCCGCGUGUGUGAAGAAGGCCUUCGGGUUGUAAAGCACUUUCAGCGAGGAGGAAGGUGGUGAACUUAAUACGUUCAUCAAUUGACGUUACUCGCAGAAGAAGCACCGGCUAACUCCGUGCCAGCAGCCGCGGUAAUACGGAGGGUGCAAGCGUUAAUCGGAAUUACUGGGCGUAAAGCGCACGCAGGCGGUUUGUUAAGUCAGAUGUGAAAUCCCCGGGCUCAACCUGGGAACUGCAUUUGAAACUGGCAAGCUAGAGUCUCGUAGAGGGGGGUAGAAUUCCAGGUGUAGCGGUGAAAUGCGUAGAGAUCUGGAGGAAUACCGGUGGCGAAGGCGGCCCCCUGGACGAAGACUGACGCUCAGGUGCGAAAGCGUGGGGAGCAAACAGGAUUAGAUACCCCCGGUAGUCCACGCUGUAAAACGAUGUCGAUUUUGGAGGUUGUGCCCUUGAGGCGUGGCUUCCGGAGCUAACGCGUUAAAUCGACCGCCUGGGGAGUACGGCC